rnacentral:lncRNA from 1 species
CUGGGCCCAGUUUGAAAACCGCUGGAGCCCAGAAUUUUUCAUUAGAAUUUUGAAAACUCAGUGUUUUGAAUUGAAUAACUUGAAGGUUUAACAUAAUUUAGCUAACAAGAGAAGGGCUGCAAUGAAGAAGAUGGGACUAGUCCCAACAAAAGAGGAGUACAUAGAUGAAGAGGAGCUGCCCCCUGAGAACAAUGAGGAGGGUCCUAUCAUAGCGAGCAUAGUUGGUGGCUGCUCCUCUGAUCCAGGAGAUACAGCUGGCUGCAGCAGUUAUGUCAAAGUGACUGAACAUGGACUGGCCCUACUUCAGCCACCUGUGUUAUCAGACGAAGAGCUGGACUCUGAACCUGUGGAAGAUGUUAAGACACUAUACAAGAAGUAUCUCAAAAUAGAGAUCUCAAACAGAAAGCAAGAAAUGGCAUACAGAGCUUUAAAAAUGCGCAAAGUGGAGAAAGAAAUUCAGUUACUUGACAGGAAAUUGGAUGUAAGUGUG